rnacentral:rRNA from 1 species
GAUAAACGCUGGCGGCGUGCCUAAUACAUGCCAGUCGAGCGAACGGACGAGAAGCUUGCUUUUCUGAUGUUAGCGGCGGACGGGUGAGUAACACGUGUAUAACCUACCUAUAAGACUGGGAUAACUUCGGGAAACCGGAGCUAAUACCGGAUAAUAUUUUGAACCGCAUGGUUCAAAAGUGAAAGACGGUCUUGCUGUCACUUAUAGAUGGAUCCGCGCUGCAUUAGCUAGUUGGUAAGGUAACGGCUUACCAAGGCAACGAUGCAUAGCCGACCUGAGAGGGUGAUCGGCCACACUGGAACUGAGACACGGUCCAGACUCCUGCGGGAGGCAGCAGUAGGGAAUCUUCCGCAAUGGGCGAAAGCCUGACGGAGCAACGCCGCGUGAGUGAUGAAGGUCUUCGGAUCGUAAAACUCUGUUAUUAGGGAAGAACAUAUGUGUAAGUAACUGUGCACAUCUUGACGGUACCUAAUCAGAAAGCCACGGCUAACUACGUG